rnacentral:misc_RNA from 1 species
GAUGAAGAACGUAGCGAAAUGCGAUAAGUAAUGUGAAUUGCAGAAUUCAGUGAAUCAUCGAAUCUUUGAACGCACAUUGCGCCCGCCAGCAUUCUGGCGGGCAUGCCUGUUCGAGCGUCAUUUCAACCCUCGCAGCCCAUCUGGGCAGCGGUGUUGGGGACCGGCACCACCGGCGAAGCCCUUAGGGGCCCAGCCGGCGCCGCCCCCGAAAUACAGUGGCGGUCUCGCUGCAGCCUCCCUUGCGUAGUAGCACACCUCGCACCGGAGCGCAGCGCGGCCACGCCGUAAAACCCCCGACUUUCUGAGUUUGACCUCGAAUCAGGUAGGAAUACCCGCUGAACUUAAGCAUAUCAAUAAGCGGAGA